GACGAACGCUGGCGGCGGGCUUAACACUUGCAAGUCGAACGGAAAGGCCCUGCUUGUGUUGGGUGCUCGAAUGGCGAACGGGUGAGUAACACUUGAGUAACCUGCCCUUGACUUUGUUAUAACUUCAGGAAACUGGGGCUAAUAACGUAUAGGAGCUCCUGCUUCAUGGUGGGGGGUGGAAAUAUUCGGCGGUUGGUGAUGUAAUCUCGGCUUAUCAGCUUGUUGGGGGGGUAGUGGCUUACCAAGACUUUGACCGGUCGCCGGACUGAGAGGGUGACCGGCCCCAUUGGGCCUGAGAUACGGCCCAGACUCCUACGGGAGGCAGGAGUGGGGAAUAUUGCACAAUGGGCGGAACCCUGAUGAAGCCACGCCGCGUGCGGGAUGACGGCCUUCGGGUUGUAAACCGCUUUCGCCUGUGACGACGCGUGAGUGACGGUAAUGGGUAAAGAAGCACCGGCUAACUCCGUG
rnacentral:rRNA from 1 species